UCAUUCCCAGUGGGCUGAAUUUAGCCAGCA
rnacentral:piRNA from 2 species